rnacentral:rRNA from 1 species
UGGGGAAUAUUGCACAAUGGGCGAAAGCCUGAUGCAGCAACGCCGCGUGAGGGACGACGGCCUUCGGGUUGUAAACCUCUUUUAGCAAGGAAGAAGCGAAAGUGACGGUACUUGCAGAAAAAGCGCCGGCUAACUACGUGCCAGCAGCCGCGGUAAUACGUAGGGCGCAAGCGUUAUCCGGAAUUAUUGGGCGUAAAGAGCUCGUAGGCGGUUUGUCGCGUCUGCUGUGAAAACCCGAGGCUCAACCUCGGGCCUGCAGUGGGUACGGGCAGACUAGAGUGCGGUAGGGGAGAUUGGAACUCCUGGUGUAGCGGUGGAAUGCGCAGAUAUCAGGAAGAACACCGAUGGCGAAGGCAGAUCUCUGGGCCGUAACUGACGCUGAGGAGCGAAAGGGUGGGGAGCAAACAGGCUUAGAUACCCUGGUAGUCCACCCGUAAACGUUGGGAACUAGUUGUGGGGUCCAUUCCACGGAUUCCGUGACGCAGCUAACGCAUUAAGUUCCCCGCCUGGGGAGUACGGCCACAAGGCUAAAACUCAAAGGAAUUGACGGGGUCAUAGCUGUUUCCU